rnacentral:tRNA from 1 species
GCAUCGGCGGGCGACGGUGGGCGCGUUGCGGGUGGCGUUCCUGUCGUCGCUGGUGGUGGAGCUGGUGUGCGCGCUGUCGGUCGCGUUGGUGGCGGUGCC